UACGAGGGGGGCAAGCGUUGUUCGGAAUUAUUGGGCGUAAAGGGUGCGUAGGCGGUUUGACAAGUCUUAUGUGAAAUCUAUGGGCUCAACCCAUAGUCUGCAUGGGAAACUGUCGGGCUUGAGUAUGGGAGAGGUGAGUGGAAUUUCCGGUGUAGCGGUGAAAUGCGUAGAUAUCGGAAGGAACACCUGUGGCGAAAGCGGCUCACUGGACCAUUACUGACGCUGAUGCACGAAAGCUAGGGGAGCAAACAGG
rnacentral:rRNA from 1 species